GAUGAAGAACGUAGCGAAAUGCGAUAAGUAAUGUGAAUUGCAGAAUUCAGUGAAUCAUCGAGUCUUUGAACGCACAUUGCGCCCCCUGGUAUUCCGGGGGGCAUGCCUGUCCGAGCGUCAUUGCUGCCCUCAAGCACGGCUUGUGUGUUGGGCCCCGUCCCCUCCCCCGGGGACGGGCCCGAAAGGCAGCGGCGGCACCGCGUCCGAUCCUCGAGCGUAUGGGGCUUUGUCACCCGCUCUGUAGGCCCGGCCGGCGCCAGCCGACACCCAACUUUUAUUUCUAAGGUUGACCUCGGAUCAGGUAGGGAUACCCGCUGAACUUAGGCAUAUCAAUAAGCGGAGGA
rnacentral:misc_RNA from 1 species